CUAGAAGUCAAGAAGAAAAAGUGAGUCAAAGAGAAAAAAAGUUAUCACUUGUAUUUGACACUGCUGGUGUGAGAGGAAUGAGAGAGUAUGUGCGUGAGGAGUGAGAAUUGAUCCAUGGAUUUGACAAUACUAAGGAUGUGUCGUGGUGGUGAACUUUACAAAUUUACUUCAGAGCCUUCAUAGUACCAGUAUGAAAUUGUGAGAAAACUGGGUGAGAAAUGGAUUUGGCCCAGAUUUCCUGAAUUCGGAGCUGGAUGCAGUGAGACUCUUGGAUUGUUUCCUUUUAGAAAUAGGAAACCACAAUAAAGGCUCUUGCCCACAUUUUCUCUGCCUCCUGACCAACCAUAGGUCUUCCCCAUGUCGCCCUGCAUAAUGUGCCAAGCCUCCUGUUUCUAGGGAUCUAUCUCAUGGGCUACUGGGGAGAUGAACAAGUAAUCCGGCUCUUAAAUGGCAUCUUAAGAGUGUUAAUACACAGAAAGGAAAGCAAGGCAUCUCAGAGGUCUCCAGGAGCUCUGCUGUGCCAUAGAAGGUUUAUUCUCUCAGCAUCAUUGCCAGCAGAGGCCUUUUCAUCUUCUGUAUCGUCCCUGGAUGCUGUUUUGCCACACUGCUACAAUGCCCAAACCCUCACCUAAAGAAUCAGCACUUGUCUCUUAAGAUAUGUAAACUUCUUGUCUCUCAAACCACCCUCCAACAAAAACUUAUCAAAGAGCUUAAAACACAGUUAAUCUGAGAAGGACAACUAUCAUACGGUUUCAUUCACAUGCAGAAUAUAAGAAAUAGUGCAAGUGACCAUAAGAGAAGAAGGGGAAACUGAAUGGGGAAAGAUCAGAGAGGAAAACAAAGCAUGAAGACUCUUUAACUCUGGGAAACAAACUGAGGACUGU